AUACGGAGGGGGCAAGCGUUGCUCGGAAUUACUGGGCGUAAAGGGUCCGUAGGUGGCUUCGUAAGUUAGAUGUGAAAUCUUAGGGCUUAACCCUGAAACGGCAUCUAAAACUGCGUAGCUUGAGUACAGGAGAGGUUGGCGGAAUUCCCGGUGUAGCGGUGAAAUGCGUAGAUAUCGGGAGGGACACCAGCGGCGAAGGCGGCCAACUGGCCUGUCACUGACACUCAGGGACGAAAGCGUGGGGAGCAAACCGGAUUAGAAACCCGAGUAGUCC
rnacentral:rRNA from 1 species